UGAUUAGAAUGUUUCCCAUUAUGGAUUUGUUUCCAAUUGAAGCUUAUGCACGUGGACUUGGCAAAAUGAGAUUUCAGUCCCCCUGUUGAUGGGAAAAAUUGUGGUAGUAUACCUCAUUUUUAUGAUUUUAGGCAUUCUUUGGUGGAAGGGCUGUUUGGGAGGGAGGAUAUCAAGGUAAAAGGUAAGAAAGUUAAUUAUGCUGCAAAGGUCCAUGGCUUUUGAGGUAUCACCCUACCCAGUGGUGUCAGGCAAGCCAGCCACCUUUGGUCUAAUUAGUACUACCAGUUAUGCUCUCUUCAAAACUGUUGCCUGAGAUGGAAGUGGAGGACAACUACAAGAGAGAGCGGUUGCUUCACCCUACCCAGUGGUGGCUGGCUUGCCACCUUUGGUCUAAUUAGUACUGCCAGUUAUGCUCUCUUCAAAACUGUUGCCUGAGAUGGAAGUGAAGGACAACUCCAAGAGAGAGCAGUUGCUUCAUGGGAUGCAAAACUUGCCAUUAUCCUCACAAAUUGAGAAGUUAAAGAAAAAAUGUUAGCUGACAUGCAUAAAGCCUAUUUGUUUGGAACCCGUCAAGGCUGCAAAAAUUGCCCCAACUUUGGAUAAGGGUCAGGCUGCAAAAAUUCAAGAGAAAGAGAAUUUAUUCCGAGCUGCUGUAAAUUUUGGCAAAGGCCUUACUCUCAACUGUCUCUUUACAUUCAAUGCCUUUUAGAUUAUCUGCUUUUCAUCUAGCUCUAAAUUUAUAUAGGUUAUUUGCUUUCUUGUAUCUUGAGAUGAAAGGUCUUGCAUUUCUCAUGCAAUCUAGUCUUGUAACUUAGUUUCAGCAAUUUGUCGUCAAA